UUUUUCUUUUUUUUUUCUGAGACCGAGUCUUGCUCUGUUGCCCAGGCUUUGCAUGAUCUCGGCUCACUGCAACCUCCACCUCCCGGGUUCAAGCGAUUCUCCUGCCUCAGCCUCCUGAGUAGUUGGGACUACAGGUGCGUGUCACCACACCAGGCUAAUUUUUGUAUUUUUAGUAGAGAUGGGAUUUCACCAUGUUGGCCAUGAUGGUUUCGAUUUCCUGACCUUGUGAUCCACCCACCUUGGCUUCCCAAAGUGCUGGGAUUACAGGUGUGAGCCACUGCACCCGGCCUUUUAGGCAGUUUUCUUACCUGCAUACUCUGAUCACUACUCUGUUAAACAGUCAAGGAGGGUAAGUAUUCUCUUCAGAUUUCCAGAGCUCUGUCUCUGUACAGCCUUCUCCUCCUCAAUAUUCUGCCCUAUGAAUUCUAGCCAUGUUGGCCUUCCCAGAUUCACAGUUCUGUCUUCUCAACUCAGGAAGAUCUCUGAGCUCCAUCUGCAUUCUUCCUUCCUGUGCUGUGGCCUGGAAACUUUUAUAAGGUGAUGGGGAGGUCAGUUGUGGGGAUGGCCUCCUUUGUUUCUCAUCUCUUGAGGAUCAUUGUCCUUUGACUCUUGAUUCCAGUGAUUGAUUCCCUUUGUUGCUUGAGAGCCAUAGUUUUGUAUAUUUUGUCCAGUAUUUUUGUUGUUUUAGGUCAGAAAGUAAUUUUGGUUUCUGUUACUCCAUCUUGGCCAGAAGUGUAAGUCACUUACCUAAGCAUUUAUACAUCAAAAUACUGCACAUACAAUUUUAGUUUAAGCUACUUUUAAAAAAUCUUCAUUUUCCAUUUGGCAUUCUAUUUAGGGCAUUACAUUGAUUUUUUGGAAAUUCUGUUAUUGGCAGUUUCUAUUGCCUAUCACUUCCAUUUAAAGAUAGUGCAUAGGAUAUUCUAAAAUAGUUGUUAAACAAAGAGAAAAUUGGGCCUGAUAGGGUGAGAAUCACAGCUCUACUACCUCAAGUGACCUUAUGAUGUAUUGUACAAAGGAGAUCCUUUUGACAAGAGGGUGUUGUUAGUAAUUAUAUCAGGACCAUGGCCUAAACCAGGGCUAUCUCAGGCAUCCUGGGACAUAGGGUUAAAUGUAGGACAUCUUUUUUUUUCCAGGAUGGGAGAGGUUUAAACAUGUUACUACGUUGAAUAAAUGAAAUAGCCAUGGACAUGGAGAGGCUAAAGAUUCUGAACUAAGUGCAAGUAAUUGAUAGCUCAAGCUCCCAAGGGGCUGGGGCCUGCAGCGCAGAUGGAUGGAUCGACUGUGGGCAGAACUGGGGUGUGGGAGGGGUGUGCAGAUGCAGAUGUGUUUGAGGGUGGGGGGCCAGAAGCUGAGUGGGGUGCAGCGUGACAGUGCAGCUCUGAGCAUGCCGGAGGUGUUCACCAAGCAAAUCAAGAGCAGAUGGCAGAGCGAGCAGCUGAAAUAACAGCUUGUGAAAUCAGCCCUACUUUGUGGGGAGAGGAUUAGUUAAGGAUUCUAGCCAUGGGAACCAAGAAGAGGAG
rnacentral:lncRNA from 1 species